rnacentral:rRNA from 1 species
GACGAACGCUGGCGGCGUGCCUAACACAUGCAAGUCGAGCGAGGAAUUCACCCUCGGGUGAUGAACUAGCGGCGGACGGGUGAGUAACACGUGGGCAACCUACCUCAUAGAGGGGAAUAGCCUUCCGAAAGGAAGAUUAAUACCGCAUAAGAUUGUAGUAUCGCAUGAUACAGCAAUUAAAGGAGCAAUCCGCUAUGAGAUGGGCCCGCGGCGCAUUAGCUAGUUGGUGAGGUAACGGCUCACCAAGGCGACGAUGCGUAGCCGACCUGAGAGGGUGAUCGGCCACAUUGGGACGGAGACACGGCCCAGACUCUUACGGGAGGCAGCAGUGGGGAAUAUUGCACAAUGGGGGAAACCCUGAUGCAGCAACGCCGCGUGAGUGAUGACGGUCUUCGGAUUGUAAAGCUCUGUCUUCGGGGACGAUAAUGACGGUACCCGAGGAGGAAGCCACGGCUAACUACGUGCCAGCCGCCGCCGUAACAC